UUUAGAAAAAUACUUAUACAUUAUGAUAUUUACACCAGAAGUGGUGUGAAUCAUAGCCAGUUGCAUUCUGUAAACACCUUGGUUACAAAAAUGAUCAAUGGAGUUCUUUAAUAGAAUGCAAGUCUGCCAUUGUUUAGAAAACACCUGAAUCGUUUUCAGGAUUUGAAGUAUGUCAGCAUUGUCUGAACACAGUGGUCAAAUGCUAUCAAGUGAAUGAGAAAUCAUCACUCAGUUCAACAUUUAUUGAACACCACAAUGCUAGAAUCUAGGAAUUCAACUGUGAAUAAGGAAGUUAUGGUGUACUCUCUGUAAACUUCUCAUAAAUAAUGUCUAAAAUACAACAACAUUCCUAUUGAUGUAUAUUGCUUGCUUCCAAAGACUAUGACGCCUGUAUCCUCACACGUACAUCACCUUUAUUUUUCCUAUUCAGGUAGGCUUGGUGAUGAAGAUGGAGUAACGAAACUGACAGGUAAAUGAUAUUGCACCAGAUUAUAACUGAUAUCAGGAUGAUUUCUGCUUUUCAGGAGUGGCCACAGGUACCAAAGGAUGGCACAUCAUACCAGGAAUUUGUUGAUCUAGUGCAGUGGAACUGCAAGGCAGAGUUCAGCGGUAUCGGGAUCAAAGGAUUAGGAAGCCGCAGCUUUAAGGGAGGCAAGCAGCAUGAGAAGACUUUGUGGAGGCAGCUCUGAGCAUUUUAUGUAAGCAAUCUAUUUCAGCUUCAAAGGAAGCACUGGCUAAGUGGGUGAACAACAUGUAAAGUGCUCACUUGACAUAAAUUUUUUUUUUUUUAAGUAGCUGAGAUAAAGACAGCCUCCAAUCACUGACCUUUUAUUAUUAGUCAGAGCCCUGAGUACAAGAGAGACUUCAGCAGAGGUGGCCAACGGGCGCCUGCAGAGACUCCAGGCGCGUUCUUGCCUGUUGGUGCAAUAUUUGCAGCUGCGGCACUCUCCUUCAAGUUGUUUGUUCCACUCUCUGCCUGAUGCUAUGGGUAUCUGAUUUCUAUCUCUGGAAACAGCGUGGGAGCCAUGUGGCGGUCAAGGCUGGACUUUAACUGCAAAGGAGCACAUCACAGCAAGCUCCCAGGGAGCCGGGCACAGCUCAGUAUCAGUCUUGGUUUCACUUGAAAAAUGUACAGACCUUUUAUAAAUUAUAGGAAAGAGAUAAUGGAAUCCCUAUGCAUUUACUCUUCUCUUCAUAAACCAUGGCGAGAAUUUUUUUAAAAUUCCAUGUAUUCAGACUAGUUAAAAAAUAUGGAUAGGCUUUUGCUAAUUGUACAUUUUACUUGGUUUAAUAGAUAUAUAUAUUAGAGUAGAGCUACCAUUUGCUGUAUGUCACACGUGCCAGGCUCUGGGCUACGUACUUUCCAUGUAAAAACUCACUAUUCCUAGUGAAAAACCUUUCGGUUAAGUGUUCUACCUCCUAUUUACAGAAGAAUAAAUUGAGGCCCUGCAAGGAUUAAGGAAUCUGUACAAAGUCACACGCAGGCUGAACUAUGAAAAGCAACUAGAGGACAUUCUCCCCCUUGAAGAUAAUCACUUUUAUUGUUGCCGGGUCAAAGAUUCAGAUUCCACGCAGCAACCUCUGACUAAAGAACAGCAAGUCCUUUCAGGUCAGAAAGUCCAAUAUGCAGCCCCCUCAGAAGCAUAGCAUAAUAGUCCUAAAAUAACAAGCAUACAUGUAGCUUUCUUAAUUUGCCCUGCUGGGUUCCUGUAAUAAGUACUUAACAACUGUAGGCUCUGAGCAGCUCAGCAGACAUCAACAAGACCAUUUGCCAGAUGAUUUAGCAAACAAAUUUCCGAGCAUCUCAUGCUUAUGUUGAGUGCGUGACAUUAGCAAACAUGCAGGGACUUAGAGAUAAUAAUAGUAGAUAGGAAUUUUACAAAUUAAAAAGAGAGAGAAAGAAAGAACGGGAAUUUUGAAGUCUAGAGAAUUUAGGCUGAUAUGCCAAAUUCUCUGGCUAGAAUGAAGUCCCCCAGAUGAAUACUCAGUAACUUCUGCUAAUUUUUUACUCCUUGAGCAAAUAAUCUGAAAUUGAGUUAUUGGGAAGGGACAAAAACUCUGGAAUGACUUCCAGGGGAGGAAGAAAAGAAUAGAAACCACCUUAUUUUUUAGCACAAGUAACUGACAUGAAGCAAGCACAAAACACGAAAGGUUCUCAGUAAAUAUUUAUUGAAUGAAUGACUCCAUGUCUAUGACACGCAUGAGGAAUUGACAUCUCCAUAAAGAAAGCUAGCAGAUUCUCAACAAAUCAUAGGGGUUAGGUAAGCGGGUAGGGCGAAGGCAUUCAUCAAGGAAUCCCUCUCCAGUGUCAGGAAUCCAAGGCUCAGAGAGGGAGACAUUCUCGUGAAUCCAUCAGCAGCCCCCUGGCCCAUAACAGACUCCUUGAGAUGCUUCUAAGUGAGAGGGAAUCCAGGUGGCAAUGGCACUUACCAUUUUAAGAGCUGGAGCAAUCCUGAGGCUCUGUGGGGAAAGCAAUCAUCCCCAAAACAGGAAAACAAAUCUGACAAUAGAGCAGGGCUGGUCCUCAAUAGCCUGGGCAUGAGGAGCCAGGAAACCUGCUCUGAGGAGGGAGGUAAUUAUCCCAUCACUUCAGGUCACAGGGAAAUUCUAUUCUGUUUUCCGAGGCAACAUUUUUAACACUUACACAGACAUUUUAAAUGUGAACAACUCAAGCAAUCAUCCUAUUAUAUCUGUUAGUUUAGCUGAUUUCUUUCUUUUUUUUUUUUAA
rnacentral:lncRNA from 1 species